rnacentral:rRNA from 1 species
GACGAACGCUGGCGGUGUGCCUAAUACAUGCAAGUCGAGCGGACUUUGCGUUCCCUUCGGGGAAUCGCUUAGUUAGCGGCGGACGGGUGAGUAACACGUAGGCAACCUGCCCACAAGACCGGGAUAACAUUCGGAAACGAAUGCUAAGACCGGAUACGCGUGGCGCCCGCAUGGGCGCUUCGGGAAACACGGCGCAAGCUGCGGCUUGUGGAUGGGCCUGCGGCGCAUUAGCUAGUUGGUGGGGUAACGGCUCACCAAGGCGACGAUGCGUAGCCGACCUGAGAGGGUGAACGGCCACACUGGGACUGAGACACGGCCCAGACUCCUACGGGAGGCAGCAGUAGGGAAUCUUCCACAAUGGGCGCAAGCCUGAUGGAGCAACGCCGCGUGAGUGAGGAAGGCCUUCGGGUCGUAAAGCUCUGUUGCCAGGGAAGAAUAAGGGCUAGUUAACUGCUAGUCCGAUGACGGUACCUGAGAAGAAAGCCCCGGCUAACUACGUGCCAGCCGCCGCAGUAACAC